ACAUGCUCUCUCUCUCCCCCCCAGGGGCAUGCAGAAAUGUGCCAGCAGCUGGCUGCUUCUGGGAGCUCCAUGAGGCUAUGGCAGGGAGGCAGGCAGCGUGCCUGAGCCCUGCUGCACCACCGUCCAGGAGCAGCCUGUACGGCCAUUGUCACCAAGAGACGGAUCGUUCGUCAACAGUGAAUGACGCGGGAGACCUUGAGGAGGAGGCCUUGUCUCCAGACAGUGUUGUAUGCUGAGGACAGAUCAACAAGGGUGAUUCCUGUCUUCAAGUUACGUUGGAAUCCUGUCUCAGUGUGGCUGGUGCACUGAAUUCAAGGACUCAAGGAGCGCAAUGGCUUUGUCUGGGUUGCUUCUCCUUUCAUAUUCCCUCAGGAGCGACUCACAUUCUUUUGUCAAGCAGGGGAUGAAAGCCUUGCAGUGACCACGUGGGAUGUACUUCUUAGCAGUCAAUUUUAGGAUGUUUGUAAAUCGGCCAAAGUUUCUAGUUUGGCCCUGGAACUGAAAAAUCGAUUAUUCACUCAUGUCUACAUAUGGGGCCCCAAAGAGCCACACAUCCAGCCUGGCUGAAUAUGGUGGAAUAGACACCCUGGAAGACAGUUUGGUUGAAAAGCUACUAACGAUGGUUGGACAUUUAGCCACCAGCAUCAAAAGCGGUAAUUUGAUCCAUGUUGGUAUCUGCAUUUUUACCUGAACUAGAUCUGGACCCUAAAGAAAGGAAACAGAGCAAGAAAGUUACCUGUAGCUCCUAAAUUGUAGUGAACAGAGCUAGAGGUACCUUCUGGCAAAACUGAAAAGGGGAACAAGGUUUAUUUUAAAUUGAGAAAUUCACUCAGUGAAUUCUGUGGGAUUAGACUAGAGUCCCUGCCGUUAACCAAUGGAGACAGGUAUCAGGACUCCUAAAUUAGCCAGGACACAGCAUUAACUUUCAAUAGAGUUACUGCAAUGGACACAGGAAUCAUUAGCCUGCAAACAUCUUGCCUGAGACAACCAUUGACCAAACAGGUAAAAGAGGGAUUUCACAAUAAUCUUUAUUUGUUGGUCUUUCUAUGAUGCUCAUGGUUACAUCAUCUUGAGCUUGCUACAGAAAUGACUAGCUUAACUAUUAGUAUUUUGCUAGGUCUACCUAGAUCAGAGAAAGAAGAGAAAAGACAAACAGAAUGAACUGCUCUAGACAAGGGUUAGGAGUCUGAUUCAAAAGGAAUUCGGCUGAGGCCAGUGAGAUUAUAGUGGAGUAAAACUGGCCUGCUGUGAGAGCAGAAGUAGGUCAAUUGUCUAUAACAUUGUAAGUGUUCAGUGCAUCUUAUUAUAUUUGAUGUACUGCAGGGAAAAUAAAAGAAAUUAGCUGGCCACCAAUUGUUAUUAGAAACAAGGUUAAUCAGAUGCACAAAUGCUAAAUUAGCUGCUGUUUUAUGUAGUUAGGUUCCUGGGAUUACACCUUUAAAUGUCUCAGUUAGAUACAGCCUUCCACACAGUUGGAUCUCUCAGGUCAGGUGAGAUAGUGUUACAACAGCCAUAAUGAAAUACAGUAAUGGUGGGGGGUGGAGGGGUAACACCACAAUACUGAGUCUGCAUAUCUUCUAAAAUGAAAUACAUGAUUAGAAUAAAUAAGCUGUUUUGUAAUGAAAGGGGAGCAACCCAGAAGUCACAGACAGCAAUUCAGAUGAAUUUUUAUAGCGAUGGCAGUGAGAUAAUAUGUUAUGAUCAAUUUGUGUCACGUAUAAGAUAACUUUUCCAUUUCGCUCAUCAGGGAAUAAUUUCAAGUCACAAAGCUUAUCAGCAUCAGUGUCAUAUAACUUAUCAGUCUCCAAGUUAUAUUCACCAGCACUGAUUACAUGGAUACUUCAGAGUUAGAGUCCCCUCUCUUUCUGGAAACAUUGGAAAAACAUCAAAGCAGCCUGGUUGGCAAUCUCACAAAUAGACCAAGGAUUGAAUGUCUAUGGAGACUGAACUGCAGGUGUUGCCUUCAGCUGAGGGUUUGGUCAGGGUCUUCUCUGCUACUGACUGUGCUUUGUGUGUUCCAUAUGUAACCCUUCUGCCAGGUGGAGCUGGCAGUAACCAGGGCCAGGUUCAAUAUUCUAGGGGUUCCUUUUCAACAAUAUAAACACAGACCCAGCUUGAGCCCCCACCCAG